GGCCACUCUCUACUGCUGCAGCAAUGCAUUAUAAAUGCCCUUUUACUAGAAAUAAUGAUGAGAAACCAAACACAUGAGAGGAGAAAAAGACAUCAGCCCAGCACUUAACUACUACAGAUCUAAAAAUCAGCUGAGGCAAACAGCAAGUAUCACCUGAAAUGCACCAGAGGAACACUUCAAAGCAGCAACAGCAGGAAGACAGGCAGACAGGUACAGAGAGGAUAACCCACUCAUCUGACAGAUCUAGAGACUCAGACGUGGAUAUUCUAGGAAAGGUUGGAAGAAAAUACAUUCCGUCUACCAAAGGAAUAGGAUCACAUGUAACAGCUAAUAAAGAGAAGCAGAUCUUUUUCAUCCAA